UUAGGUGCCUUACUCAAGGGCACUUCAUUCAUGUACUGUCGGCUCAGGGAAUCAAACUGGCGACCUUCCGAUCACAAGGCUGGUUCCAUAACCUCCAGCCCUCGACUGCCCCCGUUUUUAGAACUUUUAACUGAUUUUUAUCUCAGUAUAAAAAUAUCUAAAUAUAUAUACACUGAACUUUAUUACCACAUUGUUAACACCCGCGGAAAAAGGGCUCCCUACUUCUGAAAUCUCAAUACACCCCAUGCACCUAUCACAAAUUAAAAGUUAAUUUACUGACCUGAACUGCCCUUAUCGACUUGGCCUCACUGUUUCCCUUUAGCUGAAACCACAAUGGCAUUUUAAGGGCCGUUAAAUAUUAUAUUAGCACAAAUGAAUUUUAUUUAAUUGUAUAUACUAGUGCUCGGAUGGUCAAUGGGAUAUAAGUCAGCAUAAAUUCAGCAGCAGAAUUUAUCCAGAAAUCAUUGAGUUUACAUCAAAUGAAAGUCACAACAAAGUCUUUAAACUGAAAAAAAUGGGGUCAAAGCUGUUCAUAAUCAGUAGUAAUAUAAUAUUUAAAAGGCAGAUAUCUUACACUGUUCUUAUAUUUUAUUGUUCUCUUUAUGGUCCAUUUAUAACAUUUGUCUGAUUUUAUGUACCAAAAAUGACCCAUUGUUACACGACUACUUUCCAUCCUCCAAGCCCCCGUGAACCAGCCAAUGGCGACAGUGGCAAGGAAAAAGUCCCUAAUAGCAAGAGGAGGAAACCUUGAGAGGAACCAAGACUCAAAAGUCGAACCCAUCCUCCUGUGGUCGACACUGGACAGCAAAGUCAGUAAUACAAGAGCAAAAUGACCAGAGAAUAAGAUUUUACAAUUAGAAUAAAAUAUUAAAAUACGGGACUGUAUGGACUGGAGAGUGAAUGGUUUCACACACGCAACUUCAAGGAUUGAAACGUUGGUAGCAAGCUGCCUCCAGAAUGUUGAAAAUGCUGGAUACUGCUGAAAAUAAUGCUGACAGGUCCCUAGUGCCCCUUGGAAACAUGAAGUACCGAUGGGAGAAGUGGCCAGGAGUGUAUGGUACAGUUUCAGAGGACUGAAACGUCGAGAGCAAGCUGCCUCCAGAGUGGUGAAAGUCUGGACACUGCUAAAAAUACUGCUGCCAGGUGCCUAGUACCCCUUGAGAACAUAAAUUCCACAUGGGAGAAGUGGCCAGGAGUGUAUACCGUAUCAAAGGUUGCAGGGCCUAUAAAAGUCAGGGUAGAGUCACUGAGCUGUUACUGAGUCUGAAAUGUUCAACAGGACUCUUCUUGGACAUUUUGCUAGUGAGACUCACAGCACUGCAAACUUCUAACCAGGCAGGGCGGCUCCCUGAAAGGACAAAACACUCCUGGUUCAGUGCGAGAAACUGAGUAAAUGAUGAGGCUUUCUGUUCUUCUGACGUUCCUCUUAGCUCUGGCUUGCAGCUCUGGCUCUGGUUCACGCUGUCAGACAGCUUGGAAUAAACAAGACGGCUACAAUGAAUUCUCAGAAAAGCACAUUCUGUCAAUGAAUAUUAAAAAAAACCCGAAAGUGAAAGAACUGAAUGAAAUAUUUGAAAGAUACCUACAAAAACACAAACUCUGUGGAAGAGUACCUUUGCAGACCUUCUUUAAACAGUCUGACAGAAAAAGAGUUGAAAGCAUCUGUAACGGUCAAGGCUUUGAAGACGGUUCUGGAAAUCUGUGCAUCAGUGAGCACAGGUUCACUGUUUACAUGGUGGAAAGCAGGAAAGUCAAAAGUGGUUGUAAAGUGAAGAAAAUCAAUACUGAGAAACUGUAUGUGGUUGUUGGCUGUGGAAAGGUUAAAAACAAAUGUCUGCCUGUCCACUUUGAAAAUCAGACUAAAGUGGCACCAAACAAAAAAGCUGCCCGCUGUAAACCAACUCAGCUCACUCAUCCUGCUCUUACAAACAAAACCUUAUUGUUCAAUUACUCAUCUUCAUUUUCACACCAGAGACGGGCGUCUACUUUCAUGCUUUUCCCCGUUGGAUAAAAGUCUCUGCUUUAUAUAUGAAUGCUAAUUAUAUUUCAUGAAGAAGGUAGAACAUUUAAAGAAUGAGGAUUCUGAUGUUUUACUGCUUUUAUUAUGAUAUUAUAAACGUCCUCAAAUUAAAUGGUGAAUAUGGUUAAAGUUAUGAUGUACAGAAUGCAACUACUACUGAAUGCCUGUACUGUAAAUAAGAAAAAAGAUGUGAGAACAUUCUGUACUCAAGAAACUGGUGAAAAAAAGUUUGGUUUUAUUUCAUUUUAUAGCAUUUUUUGCUUUAUACUGUUGCAUUAAAAAAUAUGAAUCAACAAUGUGAUUAAUGCAAAAUGUGGCCUGAGUCAUUUCUUUACC